rnacentral:rRNA from 1 species
GAUGAACGCUGGCGGCGUGCUUAACACAUGCCAGUCGAACGGUGAAGGCGGAGCUUGCUCUGCUGGAUCAGUGGCGAACGGGUGAGUAACACGUGAGCAAUCUGCCCCUGACUCUGGGAUAAGCGCUGGAAACGGCGUCUAAUACUGGAUACGAGCUGCGAAGGCAUCUUCAGCAGCUGGAAAGAAUUUCGGUCAGGGAUGAGCUCGCGGCCUAUCAGCUUGUUGGUGAGGUAAUGGCUCACCAAGGCGUCGACGGGUAGCCGGCCUGAGAGGGUGACCGGCCACACUGGGACUGAGACACGGCCCAGACUCCUACGGGAGGCAGCAGUGGGGAAUAUUGCACAAUGGGCGAAAGCCUGAUGCAGCAACGCCGCGUGAGGGACGACGGCCCUCGGGUUGUAAACCUCUUUUAGCAGGGAAGAAGCGAAAGUGACGGUACCUGCAGAAAAAGCGCCGGCUAACUACGUG